rnacentral:rRNA from 1 species
AUUGAACGCUGGCGGCGGGCCUAACACAUGCAAGUCGAACGAGUGGCGGACGGGUGUGUAAUGUCUGGGAAACUGCCUGGUGGAGGGGGAUAACCACUGGAAACGGUCUCUAACACCGCAUAACCGCAGAUGCCCCCAGAUGGGAUUAGCGAGUUGGUGGGGUAACGGCUCACAAAGGCGACGAUCCCUAGCUGGUCUGAGAGGAUGACCAGCCACACUGGAACUGAGACACGGUCCAGACUCCUACGUGAGGCAGCAGUGGGGAAUAUUGCACAAUGGGCGCAAGCCUGAUGCAGCCAUGCCGCGUGUAUGAAGAAGGCCUUCGGGUUGUAAAGUACUUUCAGCGGGGAGGUGUUACCCGCAGAAGAAGCACCGGCUAACGCCGUGCCAGCAGCCGCGGUAAUAC